rnacentral:sRNA from 1 species
UGGAACGGGGAAUCACACGUGGACGUG